GCCAGUAUGGUGGCUAUGACCCUCGACUUGUAAUAGAGUGGAUUCGGGUUCGAAUCCCGAGUAAGACA
rnacentral:tRNA from 1 species